UAAUGUCUGGGAAACUGCCUGAUGGAGGGGGAUAACUACUGGAAACGGUAGCUAAUACCGCAUAACGUCGCAAGACCAAAGAGGGGGACCUUCGGGCCUCUUGCCAUCAGAUGUGCCCAGAUGGGAUUAGCUAGUAGGUGGGGUAAUGGCUCACCUAGGCGACGAUCCCUAGCUGGUCUGAGAGGAUGACCAGCCACACUGGAACUGAGACACGGUCCAGACUCCUACGGGAGGCAGCAGUGGGGAAUAUUGCACAAUGGGCGCAAGCCUGAUGCAGCCAUGCCGCGU
rnacentral:rRNA from 1 species